GGCAACAGGACAGGCUUGAGGGCAAAAAUUAAGGUCCUCACGAGAAAUGGACCUGUGAGGGGGAAGAGAAAGUUACUAAGCUGGCCAUCAUUGAUUAUGAAAAAAGUGAACACAAUAGGAUAUCCAGCUGUUUCUGAAGUGCAGGUGUAAACACACAGCACCAUCCACCCAUCAUGGAAUUUGAUUUUCACAGGAAGAAGAAAAGAGAAUCUGUCUUGAAAGACAGUGGUUAUAAAGUGCACAACCGUUUUGAAUUUGCUGAACUAACAAGGCGUUUGUUGCUAGCAUCUGCAGAAAAGAUCAGCAACCGUCUCCAUCAUGACAUCUGUUGGGGCUCUCCCUUCCACCUGAGGCCUGUGAAAACUAUUUUGAAAGCGCCCAUCCCUUCUGUACAAGCAAUAGGAUUCAACAGGAUUUUGCAACGCCAAAGACUUGAGAAGAUUGAACUUCACUGCAAGUUAGCACAGCAAGUGGAGUCCGAACUGAAACGCAGGAUCUAUUUGGCAAGGAGACCACUGCCACCAAGUGGUCCCAACUAGGUUUGACUCGUGUUUAUGGUGGUUAUAUCAACAGUAGAGAAGCUAUUCACCACAUCAGUGCACAAAAUUGAUCAGGCUAACAAAGGGCUUUCCGCAGCCUUAAUAAGAUCAUGUGUAUCUAGUAAUGCAAUUCAAAUUAUUAAAAACCGAAUUGGAAAACCAGU